rnacentral:tRNA from 1 species
GCCUGCGUAGCUCAGGGGUAGAGCGCUUCCUUGGUAAGGAAGAGGUCCCGAGUUCAAUUCUCGGCGCCGGCU